UAUUGGACAAUGGGCGAAAGCCUGAUCCAGCCAUGCCGCGUGUGUGAAGAAGGCCUUAGGGUUGUAAAGCACUUUCAAUUGGGAGGAAAACCUACCGGUCAAUACCCGGUAGCUUGACAUUACCUUUAGAAGAAGCACCGGCUAACUCCGUGCCAGCAGCCGCGGUAAUACGGAGGGUGCGAGCGUUAAUCGGAAUUACUGGGCGUAAAGCGUGCGUAGGCGGUUCGUUAAGUCAGAUGUGAAAGCCCUGGGCUCAACCUGGGAACGGCAUUUGAAACUGGCGGACUAGAGUUUAGUAGAGGGGAGUGGAAUUUCAGGUGUAGCGGUGAAAUGCGUAGAUAUCUGAAGGAACACCAGUGGCGAAGGCGACUCCCUGGACUAGAACUGACGCUGAGUACGAAA
rnacentral:rRNA from 1 species